CACGUAGGGUGCGAGCGUUGUCCGGAAUUAUUGGGCGUAAAGAGCUCGUAGGCGGUGUGUCGCGUCGGCCGUGAAAACCUGCAGCUUAACUGUGGGCUUGCGGUCGAUACGGGCAUCACUGGAGUUCGGCAGGGGAGACUGGAAUUCCUGGUGUAGCGGUGAAAUGCGCAGAUAUCAGGAGGAACACCGGUGGCGAAGGCAGCUCGCUGGGACGGUAUUGACGCUGAGACGCGAAAGCGUGGGGAGCAAACAGG
rnacentral:rRNA from 1 species